UUUGGUGACAGAGGGACCAGCAGGAUGACCAAAUACAGUGAUUCUCAACCUUCCUAAUGCCGCAGCCCUUUAAUACAGUUCCUGUGGGUCGCGACCCACAGGUUGAGAACCGCUGACCCAAUACAAAUUGUAUAUGGUAAGAUUGGGAAUAUUAGUGACCUUUAUCUGUCAUGAUCUCUAUUGCUGCAGGCCUGGCCACUUGGAGAGAGGUUGCCCCUGCUGCCAAGGCAGUGACACCCCCUGCCCAACCUCCCUCCUUUCUCCUUGUGACCUAAGUGUUUCAGUCCUAGGGGUGGUAGAAAUAGUAACAGCUAACACUCUGCAUGGAGUGUGUAAUCUUUUUAACACAUCACCUGUUAUAACUUACCCAAUACUCAGAGCAAUACUAUUAUGACACAGGUACUAUUACUGUCCCCCACUUUACAGAGAAGUGUGAGACACAGGGAGAGUGGGUAACUUGCCCAAGUUCACACAGCAUCUGAGUAUCCGAGUCCUACCCAACACCAGGCCCUCUGGGCUCCAGUCCAUGCUCCUGGGGAAUGGGACCCAAAUCCAAUGCCAAAUUCAUCCUGAAAGUAAUUCUAUGCACCAUUUUAAGUAAUUUUGUGUAUAAAUCAAAAGUCUUUGUUAUAAAUUCUCCUGUCUGGAAUUUUCCACUUGUGGCGUCACGUAGAACUAAAGUUUCCGGUUGUGGAUGAUAGAUUUUCGGGUUAGGGACGCUUAAGCCUCUCCGGGCGAGCAUGGGGGAGCAGUGGCUGCGGGACAGCAGAUUAGAGAGCCCGGAGAGUCGCCGCCCGCUGAGGGAUGAGGACGCGACAGCCCGGUGGGACGCGCUUGCUGCCUUCGCAGCCCCGAGCGCACAGCGCCCCGGAGCCAGGCUGGGCCUGACACCCUGUCCUCUCCCCUCGCGCACAGGGCUCCGCGAGUGACCCGCCCGCCAGCGCCAGCCGCAUGGAGCGGCUGCAGAAGCAACCACUCACCUCCCCUGGGAGCGUCAGCUCCUCCCGAGACUCCAGUGUGCCUGGCUCUCCCUCCAGCAUCGUGGCCAAGAUGGAUAACCAGGUGCUGGGCUACAAGGACCUGGCAGCCAUCCCCAAGGACAAGGCCAUCCUGGACAUUGAGCGGCCUGACCUCAUGAUCUACGAGCCCCACUUCACUUAUUCCCUCCUGGAACACGUGGAGCUGUCCAGGAGCCGGGAGCGCUCACUGUCGCCCAAAUCCACGUCCCCACCACCAUCCCCAGAGGUGUGGGCAGAGAGCCGGACCCCUGGAAUCUUCCCUCAGGCUUCAGUCCCAAGAACCACUGGAACCCCCCGGACCAGUCUGCCCCAUUUCCACCACCCUGAGACCUCCCGCCCGGAUUCCAACAUCUACAAGAAGCCACCCAUCUAUAAGCAGAGAGAGUCCGUGGGUGGCAGCCCUCAGAGCAAGCACCUCAUUGAGGACCUCAUCAUCGAGUCGUCCAAGUUCCCUGCGGCCCAGCCCCCUGACCCCAACCAGCCGGCCAAGAUAGAAACUGACUACUGGCCUUGCCCCCCUUCUCUGGCUGUUGUGGAGACAGAAUGGAGGAAGCGGAAGGCAUCUCGGAGGGGUGCAGAGGAAGAGGAUGAGGAGGAAGAUGAUGACUCUGGGGAGGAGAUGAAGGCUCUCAGGGAGCGUCAGAAAGAGGAACUCAGUAAGGUUACUUCCAACCUAGGAAAGAUGAUCUUGAAAGAAGAGAUGGAAAAGUCAUUACCUAUCCGAAGAAAAACCCGCUCCCUGCCUGACCGGACCCCCUUCCACACCUCCUUGCAUGCAGGCACCUCUAAGUCUUCCUCUCUCCCGGCCUAUGGCAGGACCACCCUGAGCCGGCUACAGUCCACAGACUUCAGCCCAUCGGGGAGUGAGACUGGAAGCCCAGGCCUGCAGGUGAGCGCCUUCCGGAGGGGAACAGGUGGACACCAGAAGCCAGGCCAGGCAACUGGACGUGUGGGGGAUGGGGAGUGGGGCCUCAGAAUUGCCUGGUGAAGCCAUGAGAAGCUGGGGUAAGGCUGGGAAGGUCUCCCCACCCCACUCUGGCUCACUGCAGCUUUGGUCUCCCCAGAAUGGAGAGGGCCAGAGGGGGAGGAUGGACCGGGGGAACUCCCUGCCCUGUGUGCUGGAGCAGAAGAUCUAUCCUUAUGAAAUGCUGGUGGUGACCAACAAGGGGCGAACCAAGUUGCCUCCAGGUGUGGAUCGGAUGCGGCUUGAGAGGCAUCUAUCCGCUGAGGACUUCUCAAGGGUAUUUGCUAUGUCUCCCGAAGAGUUCGGCAAGCUGGCCCUGUGGAAGCGGAAUGAACUCAAGAAGAAGGCCUCUCUCUUCUAAGGCCCCCCUCCAUGACUGACUCCCUCGCCCCUGCUGCUUGAGGGCUUUGGAGCUGGGGUCACUAGAUGGCAAAGCAUCCUCUUCCCCUGGUGGGCUGGAGAGGGAGGGGCAGACGCAGGUGGAGGGAGCCGAGGCCCCUGCAAGCCUGGCCACUGCGGCGUGGACUUCCCUGGCCACGAGGAGCCAGAUGGCCUCCUCUUCUCUCCCCUGCUCCUCACUGCACAGGGCAACCCAGACAGGGCUCUAGCACCCACGGAGUUAAUGUUUGUGCCCUCUCCCUGUCUCUCACCCCCACCCAGAGGUCCCUAGCAGAGGGUAAGGAGAAAGAAGGGGCACGUGGUGGUCAGGCCUGGCAGCUGUCUUGAGCAAGGGGUAGGAAGUAGCCAGGCAGCGGCCCCUGUGUGAGCCCACCCAACACCCCCUACCCACUCCUGUCAGCUUCCCCUGUGCCUGGGCUUCCUACUUCUCUGACUCCAGCAGGAAGGCUGCCCUGCCCUCCAGCUUGCCCUGACUUUUGCUCUGCUUUGAAGCCUCUUGCUUCAGUCCCAUGGCUUCCCCAGAAGCCCUGGCAUAGAGGGGGAUGCUACCUAACAGCCCCAACCCACUGCCUGCCUCCAGGCCAAGUCAGCAGGAGUUCUACCUUCUAGUGCAAGCCAGGUACUGGGUAGAGGCCAGGCCUUGAGCCUCCCUUGGAUGGGGUCCAGAGGGGUGGCACAUUCCUGAGUGUCCUGGCUACCAGCUCCCACCUGUUCCCACGCAUCUCUACUAUGCUCUUAAAGAAUGUAUUUAUUGGGCCCCCCCAGCUGCUUUCCUCAUCUAACUCUCUGCCCUUCUUUAGUCACACUCCCAGCUCUACUUCUUUCCAAGUACACAUGUGUAUAUAAUUAUAUCUAUAUUUUUGCCCAGGUCGGGUUUUGUUCCCACCCAGAGCCUGGCAGCCCUUUCCACUUUGUGUGUGAUAAUGCUGGGGGAGGGGGACUCUGCUUGGAAUUAAAAGGUUGCAUUGAGUCCCUAAA